GUGGGGGGCUACAAGGGGGCGGAGAGAAGAGUCCAGACGUCCCACAUCCUGAGGGCGAGUUUCAGCCUCGUGGAGGGCAGCGAAAGUAAUUGCAUGGAUCAGGAAAAUCUUGCAAUCGGAAAACAGCAGCGUCCCCGUAAUUUCAAUAUAGGUGGGGCUUACAAGUGGCUGACUGUUUAGACGCGGUUAGCCUAGCUUAGCGUUUUAUUUACUUGCCAAACAUUUCACAAAGCGCGUGCUAUGUGUGAGUGUACCAGGCAUUGCUCUAACCGUUUUACACAUUUACAUGCUAUAACUCCAAAAUUAUCGUUACCCCCUUUUACGAAUGAGGAGACGAAGACCCAGAAAUGUGAAGUACAUUUACCUGAACUCAUCACCUUCCCACCCCCAUCCCAUCGACUCUGUGCUGUAUCCUGAACCGGCUGACAGAACAAUGAUGUAGACUUGACUUGUUUUCGCCAACCUGGAAUGAAGCAAAGCUCUUGUGCACCCAAGAUCUGCUCUCUGUUGUAAAUCCUGUUCAGACCUGGUCUAAUUGGUUUGAAUAAAUAAAGAACGGGAAUCUUUCUCAUCCAAA